AUACGAAGGGGGCAAGCGUUGUUCGGAAUAACUGGGCGUAAAGCGCACGUAGGCGGAAUGUUAGGUUAGAGGUGAAAUCCCAGGGCUCAACCCUGGAACGGCCUUUAAUACUGGCAAUCUAGAGACCGAGAGAGGUGAGUGGAAUUCCGAGUGUAGAGGUGAAAUUCGUAGAUAUUCGGAGGAACACCAGUGGCGAAGGCGGCUCACUGGCUCGGUACUGACGCUGAGGUGCGAAAGCGUGGGGAGCAAACAGGAUUAGAAACCCCAGUAGUCC
rnacentral:rRNA from 1 species